AAAUUGAAGAGUUUGAUCAUGGCUCAGAUUGAACGCUGGCGGCAGGCCUAACACAUGCAAGUCGAACGGUAACAGGAAGCAGCUUGCUGCUUUGCUGACGAGUGGCGGACGGGUGAGUAAUGUCUGGGAAACUGCCUGAUGGAGGGGGAUAACUACUGGAAACGGUAGCUAAUACCGCAUAACGUCGCAAGACCAAAGAGGGGGACCUUCGGGCCUCUUGCCAUCGGAUGUGCCCAGAUGGGAUUAGCUAGUAGGUGGGGUAACGGCUCACCUAGGCGACGAUCCCUAGCUGGUCUGAGAGGAUGACCAGCCACACUGGAACUGAGACACGGUCCAGACUCCU
rnacentral:rRNA from 1 species